rnacentral:rRNA from 1 species
UACGGGGGGAGCAAGCGUUGUUCGGAUUUACUGGGCGUAAAGGGCGCGUAGGCGGCCACCGCAAGUCGACUGUGAAAUCUCCGGGCUUAACUCGGAAAGGUCAGCCGAUACUGCGGGGCUAGAGUGCAGAAGGGGCAACUGGAAUUCUCGGUGUAGCGGUGAAAUGCGUAGAUAUCGAGAGGAACACCUGCGGCGAAGGCGGGUUGCUGGGCUGACACUGACGCUCAUGCACGAAAGCGUGGGGAGCAAACAGG